GAUGAACGCUGGCGGCGUGCUUAAUACAUGCAAGUCGAACGGACAGGCUCCUGCUUGCCGGGGUACUCGAGUGGCGAACGGGUGAGUAACACGUGGGUGAUCUGCCCUGCACUUCGGGAUAAGCCUGGGAAACUGGGUAUCAUAUCGGAUAGGACAACAUUAUGGAUGUUGUGCUGGAAAGUUUUACGGUGUGGGUUGUGCUCGCUGAUUAUCAGCUUGUUGAUGGGGUAAUGGCCUACCAAGGCGCCGACGGGUAGCCGGCCAAAGAGGGGUGAUGGCCACAUUAGACCUCUGAGACGGCCCACACUCCUACGUCUGGCACCAGUGGCGAAAACUGGACAAAGCGCGCAAGCAUGAUUCAGGAAGGGCUCGGGGGCGAUAAAGGCCUUCGUUUUGUAAAAUCCUUUCACUAGGGACGAAGCCUUUUUGUGACGGUACCUGAAGAGAAAGCACCGGCUAACUACGUG
rnacentral:rRNA from 1 species